rnacentral:rRNA from 1 species
UACGUAGGGGGCAAGCGUUGUCCGGAAUCAUUGGCGUAAAGAGCGUGUAGGUGGCCCGGUCAGUCCGCCGUGAAAGUCCAGGGCUCAACCCUGGAAUGCCGGUGGAUACUGCCGGGCUGGAGUCCGGAAGAGGCGAGUGGAAUUCCUGGUGUAGCGGUGAAAUGCGCAGAUAUCAGGAGGAACACCAAUGGCGAAGGCAGCUCGCUGGGACGGUACUGACACUGAGACGCGAAAGCGUGGGAGCAAACAGG